GAUGAACGCUGGCGGCGUGCCUAAUACAUGCAAGUCGAGCGAACGGACGAGAAGCUUGCUUCUCUGAUGUUAGCGGCGGACGGGUGAGUAACACGUGGAUAACCUACCUAUAAGACUGGGAUAACUUCGGGAAACCGGAGCUAAUACCGGAUAAUAUUUUGAACCGCAUGGUUCAAAAGUGAAAGACGGUCUUUCUGUCACUUCUAGAUGGAUCCGCGCUGCAUUAGCUAGUUGGUAAGGUAACGGCUUACCAAGGCAACGAUGCAUAUCCGACCUGAGAGGGUGAUAGGCCACACUGGAACUGAGACACGGUCAAGACUACUACGGGAGGCAGCAGUAGGGAAUCUUCCGCAAUGGGCGAAAGCCUGACGGAGCAACGCCGCGUGAGCGAUGAAGGUCUUCGGAUCGUAAAAAUCUGUUAUUAGGGAAGAACAUAUGUGUAAGUAACUGUGCACAUCUUGACGGUACCUAAUCAGAAAGCCACGGCUAACUACGUG
rnacentral:rRNA from 1 species